UAGGGAAUCUUCGGCAAUGGACGAAAGUCUGACCGAGCAACGCCGCGUGAGUGAAGAAGGUUUUCGGAUCGUAAAACUCUGUUGUUAGAGAAGAACAAGGACGAUAGUAACGGAACGUCCCCUGACGGUAUCUAACCAGAAAGCCACGGCUAACUACGUGCCAGCAGCCGCGGUAAUACGUAGGUGGCAAGCGUUGUCCGGAUUUAUUGGGCGUAAAGCGAGCGCAGGCGGUUUCUUAAGUCUGAUGUGAAAGCCCCCGGCUCAACCGGGGAGGGUCAUUGGAAACUGGGAGACUGGAGUGCAGAAGAGGGGAGUGGAAUUCCAUGUGGAGCGGUGAAAUGCGUAGAUAUAUGGAGGAACACCAGUGGCGAAGGCGGCUCUCUGGUCUGUAACUGACGCUGAGGCACGAAAGGGUGGGGAGCAAACAGG
rnacentral:rRNA from 1 species